UACGGGGGGGGGCAAGCGUUUGUUCGGAAUUACUGGGCGAAAGGGCUCGUAGGCGGCCAACUAAGUCAAACGUGAAAUCCCUCGGCUUAACCGGGGAACUGCGCUUGAUACUGGAUGGCUUGAGAUUGGGAGAGGGAUGCGGAAUUCCAGGUGUAGCGGUGAAAUGCGUAGAUAUCUGGAGGAACACCGGUGGCGAAGGCGGCAUCCUGGACCAAUAUUGACGCUGAGGAGCGAAAGCCAGGGAGCAAGACGGG
rnacentral:rRNA from 1 species